rnacentral:rRNA from 1 species
GUGGGGAAUAUUGCGCAAUGGGCGAAAGCCUGACGCAGCAACGCCGCGUGCGGGAAGACGGCCUUCGGGUUGUAAACCGCUUUCAGCAGGGACGAAUCUGACGGUACCUGCAGAAGAAGCACCGGCUAACUACGUGCCAGCAGCCGCGGUGAUACGUAGGGUGCGAGCGUUGUCCGGAAUUAUUGGGCGUAAAGAGCUCGUAGGCGGUCUGUCGCGUCGGAAGUGAAAACUCGGGGCUUAACCCCGAGCCUGCUUUCGAUACGGGCAGACUUGAGGAAUGUAGGGGAGAACGGAAUUCCUGGUGGAGCGGUGGAAUGCGCAGAUAUCAGGAGGAACACCAGUGGCGAAGGCGGUUCUCUGGACAUUAACUGACGCUGAGGAGCGAAAGCGUGGGGAGCAAACAGGCUUAGAUACCCCUGUAGUCC